rnacentral:rRNA from 1 species
GACAGAGGGUGCAAACGUUGUUCGGAAUUACUGGGCGUAAAGCGCGUGUAGGCGGCCAUCUAAGUCGGGCGUGAAAUCCCACGGCUCAACCGUGGAAGUGCACUCGAAACUGGAUGGCUAGAGUCCUGGAGAGGAAGGUGGAAUGCUUGGUGUAGAGGUGAAAUUCGUAGAUAUCAAGCGGAACACCGGUGGCGAAGGCGGCCUUCUGGGACAGUGACUGACGCUGAGACGGCGAA